rnacentral:tRNA from 1 species
GGGCAUGUGGUGUAGUUGGUUAUCACGCUCGCUUAGCAUUGAUAGUUUGCUUGCGAGAGGGGUCCGGUUCAAUCCCGGACAUGUCCA